rnacentral:rRNA from 1 species
GUACACUCCUACGGGAGGCAGCAGUGGGGAAUUUUGGACAAUGGGCGAAAGCCUGAUCCAGCAAUGCCGCGUGAGUGAAGAAGGCCUUCGGGUUGUAAAGCUCUUUUGUCAGGGAAGAAACGGUGAGAGCUAAUAUCUUUUGCUAAUGACGGUACCUGAAGAAUAAGCACCGGCUAACUACGUGCCAGCAGCCGCGGUAAUACGUAGGGUGCAAGCGUUAAUCGGAAUUACUGGGCGUAAAGCGUGCGCAGGCGGUUUUGUAAGUCUGAUGUGAAAUCCCCGGGCUCAACCUGGGAAUUGCAUUGGAGACUGCAAGGCUAGAAUCUGGCAGAGGGGGGUAGAAUUCCACGUGUAGCAGUGAAAUGCGUAGAUAUGUGGAGGAACACCGAUGGCGAAGGCAGCCCCCUGGGUCAAGAUUGACGCUCAUGCACGAAAGCGUGGGGAGCAAACAGGAUUAGAUACCCCUGUAGUCCCA